GGGCCCGUAGCUCAGCCUGGUAGAGCGGCGGGCUCUUACCUGGCUGGGCGGAAGUCCCGGGUUCGAAUCCCGGCGGGCCCGCCA
rnacentral:tRNA from 1 species